AGUGUGAUAGCUGGGUAAAAUGUGGUCCUAUUCCAAGUUUUCUGAGGAAUCUCCACAUUGCUUUCCAAAGUGGUUGCACCAAUUUGCAGUCCCACCAGAAAU
rnacentral:pre_miRNA from 1 species